rnacentral:rRNA from 12 species
AGUGAUGGCUAAACUGUCCUGUUAGUGCCUGAACCUGUCAGAUCUCUGAACCUAAGCACAGCAGGGCCUGGUCUGUACAGAUGGGAGACCACCUUGAAAGAUCAGGGACCACUAGAC